rnacentral:rRNA from 1 species
GGUCAGAAGGGACUACCCGCUGAAUUUAAGCAUAUC